rnacentral:rRNA from 1 species
AUCAACCCUUGACAUCCUAGGACCGCCAGAGAGAUUUGGCUUUCACUUCGGUGACCUAGUGACAGGUGCUGCAUGGCUGUCGUCAGCUUGUGUCGUGAGAUGUUCGGUUAAGUCCGGCAACGAGCGCAACCCACGUCCUUAGUUGCCAGCAUUCAGUUGGGCACUCUAGGGAAACUGCCGGUGAUAAGCCGGAGGAAGGUGUGGAUGACGUCAAGUCCUCAUGGCCCUUACGGGUUGGGCUACACACGUGCUACAAUGGCAGUGAGAAUGGGUUAAUCCCAAAAAGCUGUCUCAGUUCGGAUUGGGGUCUGCAACUCGACCCCAUGAAGUCGGAAUCGCUAGUAAUCGCGUAACAGCAUGACGCGGUGAAUACGUUCCCGGGCCUUGUACACACCGCCCGUCACACCAUGGGAGUUGGUUCUACCCGACGGCCGUGCGCUAACCUUUUGGAGGCAGCGGACCACGGUAGGAUCAGCGACUGGGGUGAAGUCGUAACAAGGUAGCCGU